UCAUACGAACUUACGAAGAGUUUGAAGACGCGAUAGAUGCGACGAGAACUCACAUUCUCUACUCCACAGAUCGGAAAUUGGAGCCCUAGCCCUUGUAAAACUCAAAAUUCAACGUCCGAUUCUGUUCGAUGAUAAUUCUUCUGUUGCUCAUCAACUCGAUUCUUUAGAAGUUAACGGAUUCGGUGAUUUAGUGAAGGAUGCAGCGAGUUCCGGCGACGGUGGAGGAACAGUUGAUAUUGAAAGCGAUCAAUGAAGAAUGCCCGUGGGAGAGCUUACCCAAACGGCUUCAAGCCACCUUGUCCUCUAAAGAAGAAUGGCACAGAAGGAUAGUCGAACAUUGCAUAAAGAAAAGACUCCAAUGGAACGCUUGCUUUGCUCGCAAGAUAUGUAAAGAAAGUGAAUAUUACGAAGAUAUGAUGCGGUAUUUGCGAAAGAAUUUAGCGCUAUUUCCCUAUCACCUUGCAGAGUAUGUUUGCCGUGUAAUGAGGAUAUCACCUUUCAGAUACUAUUGUGAUAUGAUUUUUGAGGUUAUGAAGAAUGAGCAACCUUAUGAUAGCAUCCCGAACUUUAGUGCUGCAGAUGCAUUGCGACUUACAGGAAUAGGAAGAAAUGAAUUUAUUGAUAUCAUGAACAAGUGCAGAUCCAAGAAGAUCAUGUGGAAGCUGAACAAGUCAAUUGCAAAAGAACUUUUACCUACACAGCCAGUUGAUUUUGCAAUUGAACCAUGGUGGGGAGUUUCUCUCGUCAACUUUACAUUGGAAGAAUUUAAGAGACUAUCGGAAGAAGAAAUGGCAACAAUAGAUAAGGUAUGCAAGGAGGAGGCAAAUUCUUAUAUCCUAUUUGAUCCUGACAUAAUUAAGGGUCUCUAUCGGUGGGGAUUGAUAUACUUCGAUGUCCCUGUUUAUCCGGAUGACCGUUUCAAAGUUUCCAGGCUCGAGGGAUUUGUUUCCAACAGGGAGCAGUCAUAUGAAGAUCCUAUUGAGGAGUUGCUAUAUGCAGUCUUUGUUGUUUCAAGUGAGAAUUCAACUGUUGCUGAGCUCGCAGCAACUUUACAGGCUGACCUUUCACAGCUGCAGGCCGCUGCAUCUUUUGCAUGUCGAUUGGGAUGGGCAGUAAAAGUAAUUGAUCCAGCGUCUAUUCUUCAAGACACAAGCGUGGGAUCUCCCAGAGCCAUUCUCAGUGAUGAAGAGGCUUCUCACGCUAGUAUAGGCUCAGAAAAUAUAUUCGUCGAUGGUGAUGCUGCUUUGCAAGGGGAUGCUUCAGGAGCAGAAAACUAUGGGCCAGGUUCAAUGUAUGCUCGUGUUGCCUUUGUAGUUGAUGCUAACAUAACAUCCUAUCUUAUGAUGGGUUCUGUUUCACCAGGCUUGAAAUCUCAUGCUGUGACACUAUAUGAAGCGGGAAAACUUGGUCAUGCUAGCAUUGCUGAUCUUUGUAAGGAUCUGAGUACGUUAGAGGGAGCAAAAUUUGAGGGGGAACUCCAGGAAUUUGCAAAUCAUGCAUCUAGCCUUCGUUGUGUUUUGGAAUGCCUGCAAUCAGGUGGAGUUGCAACCGAUGUGAAAGCAGGCAAGGUUUACAGUAAUGUAGAUAAGAUAGCUUCAAGCAAUGAUGAGGCUACUUCUCUUGAAGCUGAAAUUACUGUGAAUGAGGAUGUAGAAUCCAGUGGUAUUGAUGAAGAUGGGGUUAAUGGUGAUGAUAAUUGCUUAAGUGGGGACUUUAAAAACAUAAACAUUCUUGAUGAUGAAAAAGUGAAUCCAGUUGAAGGGUCAGAUAUAGGGAAAGAACAGUCAAGGAGGAGAAAGAAAUAUCGUGUUGAUAUACUACGCUGUGAAAGCUUGGCAUCUCUUGCACCUGCAACUUUAGAACGGUUGUUUCUUCGUGAUUAUGAUAUUGUUGUGUCUAUUGUUCCUCUCCCACAUUCAUCAAUUCUUCCUGGACCAACAUUUCCUGUUCAUUUUGGUCCUCCCUCUCAUUCAUCUAGGACACCUUGGAUGAAGUUGGUGUUGUACACAACUGUGGCCUGUGGACCUCUGUCGGUUGUUCUGAUGAAAGGGCAAUGUUUACGUUUGCUUCCUGCACCAUUGGCUGGUUGCGAGAAAGCGCUGCUAUGGUCUUGGGAUGGUUCAACAGUAGGAGGCUUGGGGGGAAAGUUUAAAGGGAAUUUAGUUAAGGGAAAUAUACUAUUACACUGUUUAAAUUCACUUCUUAAACACUCGGCUGUUCUUGUGCAGCCCCUCAGUAAGUAUGACCUUGAUGAAUCUGGACGAGUCGUAACUCUGGAUAUCCCAUUGCCCCUAAAGAAUUGUGAUGGGUCAACUGGUAAUAUAGAGAAGGAAAUGGAAUUGAGCGAAGAGGAAAGUAAAAAGCUGAAUUCUUUGCUAGCUGUUUUGGCAAACAAGAUGGAGUUAUGGACAGUUGGUUAUAUUCGGCUGUUAAAACUUUUUAAAGAAAGAGAAUCAGACAAAUUUUCACCUGAUGAUGAGAAGCAUGAAUGGGUCCCAUUGAGUGUGGAAUUUGGAGUUCCACUUUUUAGUCCCAAGUUAUGCAACAAUAUAUGUAAAAGGGUUGUUUCGUCCCAAUUACUUCAAACAGAUUCUCUACACGACCAUCAUGAGGCAAUGCAAGGAUUACGGAAAAGGUUACGUGAUGUUUGUGCUGAGUAUCAGGCAACGGGUCCUGCAGCAAAACUUCUUUACCAGAAAGAGAAAUCAAAGGAGUCAUCUCGACAUCUCAUGAAUUAUGCUAGUGGAAGGUGGAAUCCUCUUGUAGAUCCUUCAUCUCCCAUUUCAGGAGCUUUGAGUGAACAUCAGAGAUUGAAACUUGCCAAUCGACAUCGUUGCCGAACUGAAGUCUUGAGCUUUGAUGGUAGCAUUCUUCGGUCAUAUGCGUUAACUCCUGUCUAUGAGGCUGCCACGAGGCCAAUAGAAGAAGCCCCCUCAUUGAGCACAGCAAAAGCUGAGCAAGAAGAAGCUGAGAGCAGAGAAGUUGUCCUUCCUGGUGUUAAUCUUCUUUUUGAUGGCUCUGAGUUGCACCCUUUCGAUAUUGGUGCUUGCCUACAGGCUCGUCAACCUGUCUCGCUAAUAGCGGAGGCAGCGGCUUCCUCUGCAGCAGCUGCCGCUGCUAUUAAAUAGCGCUUUGUGCUACUUUCUUGCUUGGAUAAGUGAAGAGAAUAACUGAAAAUUGUCAUCCAUGUCUUCAUGCUGCUUUUAUCAUGAUUGAGGUUAGUAGGUGGAGUAGCUCCAAACUCAAAAGUAGCUUCAAGGUCGUUGUUUUUGAAACAAACCUUUACCAGAUCACGGUUACUCCAGGUUUGACUUGCACUGAAAAGAGAAAGUAGGUUCAUUCCGAUCUAUCUGAAAUCUGGCGUGGUGAAGCAUUAAUUUGUUGUUGCCUCACCACUAAACAUAGUUUUGUUUCAUAUUCUCUCCCCCUCCCUCUUUUGUGUUUUCUUCUUUGUCCAUUGGUUGGGGAGGGGUUCUUGAACAAUUAUUCAUGUUUUCUUGUGGUAGUGUCUGUAUAUGAAUUCAAUUUCCAUUCAAAGAAGCAAAAAGAGAAGAAAAAUAGAUAAAGA